rnacentral:tRNA from 1 species
GCAUUGGUGGUUCAGUGGUAGGAUUCUCACUUCCAUGUGGGAAACUCAGGUUUGACUCCUGGCCAGUUCA